GUCUGAAUAGCCUGAAGUGAAUAACCUUUAUUGGCUGGGGUGACGGAAAAGACCAGACUCUCCGCUAGGUAACAUUCUCAUUCGCAAUGGUUAUGAAAGAGCACCAUAAUUUGCCAUACAGGUAGACGUGAGGGCAGUGGCGCGGGCUGCCUUGAAUGAACCAGCUGAAUAACUCCUCGUUCUGGAGAUGAUGUAUUCUUUUCAGUGUCUAAUUAACAACAACCGUUCAUGUCCUCUUUAAAUACAUCAGAGACCUUUUCCUGUAUUCACGCUGCUGCAAUGAAAGCUUAGUGAUUCUUGGUACGCUUAAUUACCUCCGGGAAGAUUAUGAGGCGCGGGGAGGGAAGGUGAGGCGGGCAGGGAGGGGCAGAGGGGAAAGUAGGGUAGACUCGCAGUGGUGGUGGCGGUGGCGGCGGUGGUGGCAGUGGGCCGGCCAAGGGCUCAGUGUGUGUGGGAACGGUUCUGGGUACGGGCAGGCGGGCGGGUUGGCUUCUCCUGGCGGCGGUGGUGUCAGCUGUGGUAGUGGUGGUGGUGGUGGUGAUGGUGGUAGUGUCCCAGUCUCGGUGGUAGUGGUUGAGGUGGAAGGCGAGCUGGCUACAUCUACACCGUCGUGCCUCUGCCUUUCUUCCAGAUUGUGUGUCCCAGCCAACGGGAAGAUGACCUCCGGGGUGUGACGAGGGCAGGCCAGGUCAUCAUGGUGGGGAUAAACAAGGUCAAGGCCACCAUGACUCAGCUGACCCCUCCCUCCUCCUUCGGCUUCUGAAGGGGAGCAACGAGGGAGCGACGCCCCUGAGCCACAGUGAACGAGAGGCGGAGUGGUAGUGGUGACCUUGUGAGGGUGUAGUGAGGCGCUGCGGCCCGCGGGUCUUGGUGGCAGUGGCAGUGUUGCAUGUAAAAAAUUGGCUUAAAAGGAAAAAAAUUCUGAAUAAUCUGGAAAUAAGAGGACAGAAAAUUGAUUGUUUGAUUGUGAAUUUGAUUGUGAAUUCAAACCACGUCAAGUGGACAGUACGAGGCCAGGAGGCGUGUGGGCCCCGCCUCCCGUGUGUGUUGUCUGGAGACCGCGGGGAGGAGGUCAAGGCCUCUCCCUGCCUUUAGGGCGCCGCCGCCAUGGAGACGCAGCGAAGGAUGUUGCUGCUCUUCGUUCUUCUUUUAGGUGAG